AAUGGGGAUUCCGAAAACCACAGAGAGUAGGAA
rnacentral:ncRNA from 1 species